rnacentral:lncRNA from 1 species
GCUUUCGGCGGCGGAGCGCGGGGCUGAGCGAGCACUAGUGGGAGCUGGAGAGGGCAAGAGGAGGGGAACAACGAAAAAAUCCCCGACCCAAGUAGAGCGGCCGCGGUGCAGCGGGUGAGGCGGCGCCGACGAGAGGGUGGAGUUCAUUUCUUUUGUUCUUGGAAGUUGAAUAGCAGAAAGGGACUUUUCAGCUUUUCCUGAUAAAGGUAAGACAGCAUCUAUUGAUAUGAUAAGACACUGUUCAUUAUCAUG